UACGGAGGGUGCAAGCGUUAUCCGGAUUCACUGGGUUUAAAGGGUGCGUAGGCGGGCAGGUAAGUCCGUGGUGAAAUCUCUGAGCUUAACUCAGAAACUGCCAUGGAUACUAUUUGUCUUGAAUGUUGUGGAGGUAAGCGGAAUAUGUCAUGUAGCGGUGAAAUGCUUAGAUAUGACAUAGAACACCCAUUGCGAAGGCAGCUUACUACACAAAUAUUGACGCUGAGGCACGAAAGCGUGGGGGAUCAAACAGG
rnacentral:rRNA from 1 species